UUUUGAGGCCACAUUUUCAAAAUAUUAAUAUAGCUGAGUGAUUAAAAAUAUUGUUUUUGACUUCUUAGUCUAAGUAUUUUAUUUUCUGUAUUGUGAUUUUUCUUAAACUAUUAAAUGUCUCUGUUUUUAAACUAUGUUCACAUUGUAUUUAUCUUUUGUUUUGGACAAUUGAUUUGUUAUUUGUUUUGUUUCUAUUAUCUUUGCUAUUUAUAACCAUUUGUUAUCAUUGGAUUUUUUUCUAAUCUCCAUCAUUGCAUAUAAAAUUAUAGAAAGUAAAGAAGAAUAUAAUGUGAUUGAAGGUGUAUGUGAGAAAGAAAGCUAAUGUUAGAAUAUAAUGGUUCAAAAAUAUUUUUCUCUAAAACCUUUUAACAAAAACAAUAGUUCAAGAAACUAAUAAAAUGUGAUUUAUCUAAACUAUUAAAAUAGAAGUACAAAUUUGAAAUAACCCUGAGUUUUCCUUAAUAAUUACAAGUUUAUGCUACUGAUCUAAACCAUGUUUAACAUUUAAAUCAAAUCACCUAAAUUUAAUUUAAAUAGUUAACCAAACACAAUUAUCUAUUCUAUUAAAAAGGAAUCAGUCUUGAAAAAUCUAUUUAUACAAGUUUACUGCACCCUUUCAUUUAACUAAUAGCACAUUGGUCUAUCUAUUAUUUCGCUGUUACCAUAUAUUACUCUAACCAUAAUUUAUUCUCUUUUUGUCCAUAAAAGGUCGCAUACGUGUUUUAUAAACAAACCUAUAUAUUAAUGUUUCAAAUUGGCUUAUAGUUUUCAAUUUCAAAUUGGACCUAUAUUAUUAAUGUUUCAAACGGACCUAUAUAACAAACCGACCUUAUACGUGUUUUAUAUAUAAACACUUUCUUAUAUAUUAAUGUUUCAUAAUGCAGAAUGCUGCCAUGUGAAAUAAAAAAAGAGAAGAUGUAUAUAUGAAAAUGUUGUAGUUGGUAUAACUUAUAGUACACGAAAAAUAAAAAUGCUUCUUCAAUAUAUGGAUCUCAUUCAUAUUACAACCAUGACAGUAUUAUUGAGUUAGAACACUAACCACCUUAUUCAUAUCAAAAUCUAAUAUACAAGCUAUCUAUACCACCUUAUUUAUGCCACCUUAUUCAUCUCAAAAUCUAAUAUACAAGCUAUCUAUAUGAUUCAAACAGUCUUAUAACGUUGGUAUAGCGAAAAAUUUGACAAAAAUUCAAAUUUUAAACUCUGCCAUGUUAUUGCCUUAAUUGUUACCAACUAUCUAAAAAAAUCAAUUUAAAUGUAUUGUGCACAUCUUUUUGUUAACAAUAUAUUGUAGAUACAAUAUUUAAUAACAAAAUCCGGAAAUAUUUAUAUUGCUUCGUCUACAAGUUUUAUUUAAUAUCACAAUUAGUUAUAUUUUCCUUAUACUUACAGAAUUUUCGCUAACCUACUUUAAUUGGAUUAGCAUUAACUCUUACAAAUUAAAAAAAAAUAUUCUAAUUACAAUAUACUCGCAUAAUAUUCCUUAUUCCACAAAGUAACAUAUUUAUCAAAAUUUUAAAAUAUUGUGACCUACAUUUGCGUAACCUAAAUCCGCUGUACCACCUACCAAUUAUAAAUGUAGCAUCAGAAUACCACGAUAUUCAUCAAACCUAGGGAUACAGAAAAAAAAAAUGGCGAACAAUAUGCAGUUAACUUUCUUGAACGAUAUCAAACCACACAAGACUGCAUGUUGCAUCCAAGUGAAGAUCAUUCAUACAUGGAGACAUUUCAUGAAAGACGUUGGAGAAUCUAUGGAACUAAUCCUAUGUGAUGCAAAUGUAAAUUUAACGUUCUAUAUCGAUUUGUGAUUUCUAUAUAUUGAUUUUGUUAAGAUACAAGCUAACGGAUAUAAUUCUUUUUAUCUUUUUAAAGGGAACAAAAAUCCAUGCCUCGUGUAACAAGACAUACAUUGCUGAAUUUGCCAAACAUGUCUGUCUUGGAGUAUAGAUGUCUAAGUAUAUAUUUAAUCUUUUUAGUGGGCAAAGAUUAGGGUGCUGCCUGUGGCGAAAUUUUGCAGAGAAUCUUCACACAGCUAGCCAGUAAACAGAAGGUAUGGUAAUAUGUCUUCUACGAUUUGCUAAGAUUGGGCAAUAUAGAGGUGAAGUUCAAAUCUCAAAUGCUUAUGAUGCAAGUCAGAUGUUUGUCAAUCCUGAAAUACCAGAAGCAGGUUACCGGUUCAUAUCGGAGAGGAACAAGUCUGUGGUGUCCUCCUGCGGUCGCUGAAUCGCCAUCGAUCGGAGAAGACUUUCGUUUUUAUUUUUGCUUUGUUCGAUAUGUCCAGAUGUUGUCGUAACAUAGAAGAUCACGCAUGGGCUUGGGCCUCGAUAUAAGAAUUGAAUUUGUUAACAUUUAAACUCAUUUUGCUAAAACCCAAUAUUUAAAAAAAAAAUCACCAAAAACCCAUUCUUUCAAAACCCAUUUUAAUAAAUCAUAAAUUAAAAAGUUAGAUUUUAAAUUUCAAGUAUAACUUAAAUAUUGACUAUGUUUAGAAAAAAAAAGGUUUAUAAUAACUACAGAUUAAAUCCCUUUUAUAUAUUUGGUUUUCUAUUUUGAAUAUGAUAUAUAUAUAUAUAUAUAUAUAAAUGUGUGCAACAAUCUUUCCAAUACCGACAGAUAUAAUUACAUUUCAUAAUUUCUAUACUAUUAAA